CUACGGGGGGCAGCAGUGGGGAAUAUUGGACAAUGGGGGAAACCCUGAUCCAGCAAUGCCGCGUGUGUGAAGAAGGCCUGCGGGUUGUAAAGCACUUUCGGUUGGGAGGACUGCUUCUAGCACUAAUAUUGUUGGAAGUUGACGUUACCUUCAGAAGAAGCACCGGCUAACUCCGUGCCAGCAGCCGCGGUAAUGCGGAGGGUGCAAGCGUUAAUCGGAAUUACUGGGCGUAAAGCGCGCGUAGGCGGCUAGGUCAGUCGGGUGUGAAAGCCCCGGGCUUAACCUGGGAACUGCAUCCGAUACUGGCUAGCUUGAGUACAGGAGAGGGGAGUGGAAUUCCACAUGUAGCGGUGAAAUGCGUAGAUAUGUGGAGGAACACCAAUGGCGAAGGCAGCUCUCUGGCCUGAUACUGACGCUGAGGUGCGAAAGCGUGGGGAGCAAACAGGAUUAGAUACCCUCGUAGUC
rnacentral:rRNA from 1 species